UACGUAGGGGGCUAGCGUUGUCCGGAAUCAUUGGGCGUAAAGGGCUCGUAGGCGGUUUGUCGCGUCGGGAGUGAAAUCAUCUGGCUUAACUGGGUGCUUGCUUUCGAUACGGGCAGACUAGAGGUAUGCAGGGGAGAAUGGAAUUCCUGGUGUAGCGGUGAAAUGCGCAGAUAUCAGGAGGAACACCGGUGGCGAAGGCGGUUCUCUGGGCCUUACCUGACACUGAGGAGCGAAAGCGUGGGGAGCGAACAGG
rnacentral:rRNA from 1 species